rnacentral:misc_RNA from 1 species
GAUGAAGAACGUAGCGAAAUGCGAUAAGUAGUGUGAAUUGCAGAAUUCAGUGAAUCAUCGAAUCUUUGAACGCACAUUGCGCCUUCUAGUAUUCUGGGAGGCAUGCCUGUUUGAGUGUCAUUAAACCUCUCUCAAGUAUGAUUACUUGGAUGUGAAGGAAGAGUACCUUAAACUUAAGGAGUGUUCUCCUUUGAAAUUGAUUAGCAGAUGGUAAUGUUAUUAAAUCCCUGAUGUUGUAAGAAAUAACAGUGGUUUUGUAGACUAUUAUCUAGCUUUAAAUUAUAAUUUUUAUUAUGGUUGACCUCAAAUCAGGUAAGGAUACCCGCUGAACUUAAGCAUAUCAAUAAGCGGAGGA